UUUUACCCGGUGGAAACUAAGCAUAUCAAUAAGCGGAGGAAAAGAAACUAACAAGGAUUCCCCUAGUAACUGCGAGUGAAGCGGGAAAAGCUCAAAUUUAAAAUCUGGCAGUCUUUGGCUGUCCGAGUUGUAAUCUAGAGAAGCAUUAUCCGCGCUGGACCGUGUACAAGUCUCCUGGAAUGGAGCGUCAUAGAGGGUGAGAAUCCCGUCUUUGACACGGACUACCAGGGCUUUGUGAUGUGCUCUCAAAGAGUCGAGUUGUUUGGGAAUGCAGCUCAAAAUGGGUGGUAAAUUCCAUCUAAAGCUAAAUAUUGGCGAGAGACCGAUAGCGAACAAGUACCGUGAGGGAAAGAUGAAAAGAACUUUGGAAAGAGAGUUAAACAGUACGUGAAAUUGCUGAAAGGGAAACGCUUGAAGUCAGUCGCGUUGUCCAGGGAUCAACUCUUGCUUUUGCUUGGUGUACUUUCUGGUUAACGGGUCAGCAUCAAUUUUGACCAUUGGAAAAAGAUUAAGGGAAUGUGGCAUCUUUUAGAUGUGUUAUAGCCCUUGGUUGUAUACAUUGGUUGGGAUUGAGGAACUCAGCACGCCGCAAGGCCGAGUUUUUUUUAACUACGUACGUGCUUAGGAUGCUGGCAUAAUGGCUUUAAUCGACCCGUCUUGAAACACGGACCAAGGAGUCUAACAUGCCUGCGAGUAUUUGGGUGGAAAACCCGAGUGCGUAAUGAAAGUGAAAGUUGAGAUCCCUGUCAUGGGGAGCAUCGACGCCUGGACCUGACCUUUUGUGACGGUUCCACGGUAGAGCAUGUAUGUUGGGACCCGAAAGAUGGUGAACUAUGCCUGAAUAGGGUGAAGCCAGAGGAAACUCUGGUGGAGGCUCGUAGCGAUUCUGACGUGCAAAUCGAUCGUCAAAUUUGGGUAUAGGGGCGAAAGACUAAUCGAACC
rnacentral:rRNA from 1 species